AUGGACGGCAUCCGGGACUGGACGGAGGAGGGGAUCAAGGAGGAGGAAGAGCCCGGCCUGCGGAGGCGGGGGCGGACAGCGCGGGCGCAGACUCCUUCGGCUGAUCAUGGGCCCCUCAAAUUAUUCGGAGCGAGGUCGAGGUCGCCGUCCCCUCCGCCUGGAGCCGGGUCGAGGUCGCCGUUUCCUAGGCCUGGCGCCGGGUCGAGGUCGCCGUCUCCGCCUGGCGCCGGGUCGAGGCCCGUCCCCCACUCGGUGCGGACGCGAAGGUCCGCAAGGGUGACGGUUGUCCCUGCGGCUGCAGAUGGUGCCGGUUCUGGCGGCACAGGUGGUCCUGGAGGAUCCUUCGACUGGGACCUCGGUGCCAUGGAGGAGACCGUCUCCUCGACGAGAGAUCAGAGCGCGAGGCCGAGGCUGGUCCCUCCACCGGAUACCAGCACGAGCUCCGCUUCCAUCACAGGAGGUCGAGAACAGGAGGUGGCGGCGGAACGGGAGUUCUCCUUCCCUCCGCUCGAGGCGCCGCCGAAAGUUGUCGACGCGGCGGAGGUUCUUGGCCAGUUCGCCGCCCAGUUCUUGGAGGCGACGAUGGGCGCCACCGCAGGCCCCAGGACGGAGAAGAUCAAGAAGGAGCUCCUUCUCGAUCGGAAGGUGGUCGACCUGAUGGGGCUAGAGAGGUGGUUACGAAAAAUGGAGGCGGUUGCCGAGCUCGCCUGGUUCACGGACCUGUGCUCCCACGAGGAGAAAGCGGUGCCCCCGCUCGAGCUCUUCGAGUGCGCAUUCCGGGCUCUGGAGGCCGCCCGGUCCGACGAACUCCACCGUUGCAGCGCCGAUGCCAGGAGGUUAUGGAUUGGUCCAGUGGCCGUGCCGGAGUUCUUCCUGUGCCCUUUCUCCAAGAAGUUCAUGGAGAAACCAGUCGUCAUCGCCUCUGGAAAGACCGUUGAUCAGUCUGAACUGGAGAAAUGGUGGAAGAAAAACAAACGCAUGUGUCCAGUUACCGGCGAGGUCCUCACGCACAGCAUCUUCAUCCCUGAUCCGCUCAUUGCGCUCUACAUUUCGCGUUGGCGUGCCUCAAACAGGAUCAGUGAUCUGGCAGCACCCACCGAUCCACCAGCUAUCUCUCCCGAGGAGGAAGCCCUGUUCAAGGAAGUCACCCUCUUGGCCAACUCCCCCAGGAGCUCUAAAGAGGAUUACGAAGCUGUCCUGCGCCUUCUCGCCGGCCAGGAGCGGUGCUCAUUCCUGCAUCUGCUGGGGCGCAGCCCAGGGACAAUAACCAAGCUCGCCUGCGUCCUGCCGGAGACAUGCCUGGAGCCUCACCCUGAGCUGGACGACGUCGUCCUGGAGAUCCUUGCCAGGGCAGCUUCCUACAGCCCCAACAAGGAGGUUUUCGGAGACGACCGGUACGCCAUACCCGUGCUGAUCGCGAGGGCAUUGCUGGGGCCAGUGCCCACGAGGGCCAAGUGCGCUCGGAUCCUUGGGCUGCUGGCUGACAACUACUACAACAAGAUCAAGAUCGGUGAGCUUGGAGGCUUUGCUCCACUGAUGGAGCUGCUGCUGGUGGGAGACAUUGAUGUGAAGAAGACGGUGGCGGUGGCGCUGGCCAGCCUGUGCGAGGCCGAGGAGAACUGGAGCAGAUUUGUGCGGGAGGGGGUGGCGGAUGCCGCCAUAUCUCUGAUGCGGAACCACAGGCUGGUGGACGAGGCUCACAGCAUCUUGUUGCAGGUCCAGGGCUUCCACCUGGCCAUGCAGGACAUCAUCGACAAGUUGGAGUCGUUCCCCGACGACGGCGACGAGAUGUGCAAGGAUAUGGUUGAUCGGCUCUGGCGUAGCUUCAUCGCAUCAUCAACACCAUCUGGUCGAGCAAGACAAGCUGACAACCACCCUCCCGCGGCGGCGUCGUCAUCGUCAUCAACACCAUCAUCCUCAGAGGACGAUGUUGAGGCUAUCGUUUCAUGGCUGCAGAGGAGGUCGUACAACCCCCGGACAUACAGGUGGAGAGACUAUCGCUGA
rnacentral:rRNA from 1 species